GAACGCUGGCGGCGUGCCUAACACAUGCAAGUCGAACGAACCUGAUUUUGAUUCUUCGGAUGAUAAAGAUGGUUAGUGGCGGAUGGGCGAGUAACACGUAGGUGACCUGCCCCGAUGAGGGGAAUAACCAUUGGAAACGAUGGCUAAUACCCCGUGUGGUCGAUAAUUCGUUUUAUCGAUUAAAGCUCCGGCGCGUCGGGAGGGGCCUGCGUCCCAUCAGGUAGUUGGUAGGGUAAUGGCCUACCAAGCCAAUGACGGGUAGCUGGUCUGAGAGGAUGGUCAGCCACACUGGAACUGAAACACGGUCCAGACUCCUACGGGAGGCAGCAGUGAGGAAUAUUGCGCAAUGGACGAAAGUCUGACGCAGCAACGCCGCGUGAGCGAAGAAGGCCUUCGGGUUGUAAAGCUCUUUUCUGAGGGAAGAUAAUGACGGUACCUCAGGAAUAAGUCUCGGCUAACUACGUGCCAGCAGCCGCGGUAAAACGUAGGAGGCGAGCGUUAUCCGGAUUUAUUGGGCGUAAAGCGCAUGCAGGUGGUUUCGUAAGUCGGAUGUGAAAGCCUCUGGCUUAACUGGAGGAGGUCGUUCGAUACUGCGGGACUUGAGGUCGGAAGAGGGAAGCGGAAUUCCCGGUGUAGUGGUGGAAUGCGUAGAUAUCGGGAGGAACACCAGUGGCGAAGGCGGCUUCCUGGUCCGCACCUGACACUAAGAUGCGAAAGCGUGGGGAGCGAACGGGAUUAGAUACCCCGGUAGUCCACGCUGUAAACGAUGGGUACUGCGCAUCGGCGGUAUUGACCCCAUCAGUG
rnacentral:rRNA from 1 species